GACGAACGCUGGCGGCGUGCCUAAUACAUGCAAGUAGAACGCACAGUUUAUACCGUAGCUUGCUACACCAUAGACUGUGAGUUGCGAACGGGUGAGUAACGCGUAGGUAACCUGCCUGGUAGCGGGGGAUAACUAUUGGAAACGAUAGCUAAUACCGCAUAAUAUUAAUUAUUGCAUGAUAAUUAAUUGAAAGGUGCAAUUGCACCACUACCAGAUGGACCUGCGUUGUAUUAGCUAGUAGGUGAGGUAACGGCUCACCUAGGCGACGAUACAUAGCCGACCUGAGAGGGUGAUCGGCCACACUGGGACUGAGACACGGCCCAGACUCCUACGGGAGGCAGCAGUAGGGAAUCUUCGGCAAUGGACGAAAGUCUGACCGAGCAACGCCGCGUGAGUGAAGAAGGUUGUCGGAUCGUAAAGCUCGGUUGUAAGAGAAGAACGGGUGUGAGAGUGGAAAGUUCACACUGUGACGGUAUCUUACCAGAAAGGGACGGCUAACUACGUG
rnacentral:rRNA from 1 species